CUCUUCAGAUCUGAAAAAUUUAAUGCCACAGCAUAACUAUACCCUUUGUAUUUUGUGCAGUGAUUAUUUUUAAAUAUCUUCUUUCAUGUAAGUAGCAAA